ACUCAAAUGAAUUGACGGGGACCCACACAAGCAGUGGAUCAUGUGGUUUAAUUCGACAAUAAACGAGGGACCUUACCCAGGCUUGACAUCCCGAGAAGUCCGAUGAAAGUUGGAUGUGCCCGCAAGGGAACUCGGUGACAGGCGCUGCAUGGUUGUCGUCAGCUCGUGCCUUGAGGUGUUCGGUUAAGUCCGUUAACGAGCGCAACCCAUGUCGUUAGUUAUUAUGUCUAACGAGACUGCCUGAGUUAAUCAGGAGGAAGGUGUGGAUGACGUCAAAUCAGCAUGGCCCUUAUGCCUGGGGCCACACACAUGAUACAAUGGUCGGUACAAAGAGUCGCAAUACAGCAAUGUGGAGCCAAUCUUAAAAGCCGAUCUCAGUCCGGAUUGGGGGCUGCAACUCGCCCUCAUGAAGUUGGAAUUGCUAGUAAUCGUGAAUCAGACAUGUCACGGUGAAUCUGUUCCUGGGUCUUGUACACACCGCCCGU
rnacentral:rRNA from 1 species